rfam:Schizopora paradoxa strain KTC8140 unplaced genomic scaffold SCHPAscaffold_00122, whole genome shotgun sequence.
GCCCGCCUAGCUCAAUCGGCUAGAGCGUCAGACUUUUACGAAGCAUCUGCUUCUGCGAAGUUCAUCUGAAGGCUGCGAGUUCGACCCUCGCGGUGGGCU